CUUCAUUGCAGCAUGCAGGCUCUUUAGCUGUGGCAUGUGGAAUUGUUAGCUGUGGCAUGUGGUACCUAGUUCCUGACCAGGGAUCAAAGCCAGGCCUCCUGCAUUGGGAGUGUGGAGUCUUAUCCACUGGACCACCAGGGAAGUUCCCAUUGAGGGCCAUCUUGAGAGGUUCUGCCCUUUGGAAAGGUAACUCCACAUACUGACAGAGGACUUCUGGGCCGACGAGGACAUAAGGCAAGUGGGAAGUAGGCUGAAAAACA
rnacentral:lncRNA from 1 species